UAAGAGUUGGGGUUAUAUAAUCAGAGUUGAAAUUCAAUAUUUAACCUUAAUUUCUAUCUGGUAUAAUGUAUAUCACCUAGUGUAAACUUUGUCUUUGCAGUGUUUUUCCAUCGCAGAGAGGUAUUCGUGUACCCAGACGAUGACAAAAACAUGAAGUUGGUGAAGGUCUCGAUAAGAAAGCUGAGAUAACUUUGGACUUUGUUUGGCCUAGAGAUAAAUCUAUUGGAACUCAAUUUAAGAGCCCUGAGAAGUUGAAGGCAAUAAGAUGGCAAGACAAGAUAGGGGAGAAUUCUCUUAAAGUCAGUACCAAGUUUAUUGACUACAGACCUGAGACAGGAUCUUGUGUGUUUGAGGUGAAAUAUUUCUCGAAGUAUAGUCUAGUUGAUGACUCAGAUGAGGAAGAUGUACCGGAAAAGGACAAGAAACGUUUACCGGUACGUCUGGCACAGCAGCAACAGAUGGCUGUACAAAUGAUGAAGAUAUGGAUGUCCAAGGCAAAGAACCAUCUUCACUUUGCUUAGCAACAAGUGUGGGAGUUGAUGCAGGUCAUGAAAUCUUCAUUGGUUGGUGAUGAGGAUGCCCCAGCUCUAGCAUUUGACGGUUCAAUGUUUGCAAAGAAACAAGGGCCACUGACUGGUUCACCAUUACUGAGGCACAGAGAUGGACCCAGUCUGUUCAGUUCUAGUCUAAAAUCUAAAUACAUGUCACCAGUCAAAAUGGCUAAUAUACCACAGAAAGAGACAAAAAAAGACAGAGGUAAGCAGCUGGCAUUUAAGCCAAGUGUUGCAGAGUCUCUCGUACAAUCACCUGUCAGCGUACCACAGAGCAAAUCUACACAAUCAUGAACUUUGCUGCUCAUCUACAGUCUCUCAAUCUCUGGGAAUGGGCAGUAUUUUUGGCAUUGCAUAUCAGUUGUGAUUCAGCUGUACAAAGUUUACUCGAUCGGCACAUUCAGCUUUCAUCAUCAGAGUCGUACCUAGAGAAGGAAGAAUUAUUGAAUGAAAGGCUGUUGGUACCUGUUGAAUGGAUACAUAAUGCUAAGUGCAGAGAAGAGCGGAAGUUCAGCAGAAAUUCCACCCCCAAGGAGAUUAGCCCCACCCACAUUAUCCCAUCAUCCACCAAGAAGAGGAUGUGGAAAUUUGUUAUCGUCUAAGCCCAUUGAACAGUUCAAUCAAACAUACACUUGAUGGUGAGCUGCAAUAAAACCAAAUAAACUGAUCUCAUGUUGACAGAAUAUAACAUUGCUGAACAAUUUAGACUCUGAUAUUCCUAUGUGGUCCAAUUAUUGAAAUUAGUAAGGGAGAUUAUUCAAAUUUAGACUAUAAAAUAAAAAGGUGUGUUUUAGAUAAAGAGUUUUGUCCCUUAAAUACUCCUUCACCACAGUUGGACUAGACAAAAUGGUGGAAGACAAUUUUAUUGGGCAGACAAGAAAUUCUGACAUACAGACACCGAAAGGAAUUCAUCAAAACUCAUAGGGAAUUUUCAGCGGAAAAAAUGCCAAGGGAAUGACCUGUGUUCAUACUGUACAAUCAGUUCUUCUAGAUUACAGCAAAGGCUUCAGUUCUUGCAUUUCCUUGUCCCAGAUGAAGAUGGUUAACAUUAGAGAGACUUUAAUGAGGAUGCUGUAUUUAAGAGAGGAGAACAAUUAUACAUGUGGUAACAGUGUUGAAGAUUUUGGGCUUGUAACAAAACAGAGUCUGCUUAUGCCUUAGAAAUUGAACUUGCAUAUGAUGGACAAGGGGUCAGAUCAUGCCCACCACCAUGCUGUAUUUACUGUGGAGACAACACCUGCUUGAGGAUAUUGAUCUGUAAAUCACAAAACUCUAUGAAAACGUUUCAAGUGUACAUCCAUUAGUGUAACAACUUGUUUAGAAAAUUGUCAAGAUAACCUGGAGUCGUUAAUUCUUCAGAAAAAAGAAAAAUGAUGUGAAACCUGUGAUAUGCAAGCACUGUUCAGAAAACAAAUGAAUGUUGUGCAAAAACAUGCUCUAGUGGACUUGAUCAACAUUCUAACAUUACUUAUAUAUUCAGUAUUGUGGAAAUUGCUUUAACUUUUAUACGUAAAACAUUUGAAUGAAAUCAGUUAAGGUAAUUUAUUCUAAUUUGAAUUAUUGUUCAGAUAUAAAAUUUUCAAAGCAGUUUUUGUUUUUAAUUUUUCAGUUCAUUUUGUUAUAUAAUACAUGUUAGCCAUGCUAUUUUAAAAAGUGUUUGUUUGCAGAGCUACAACUGAUCUUUCAAAUUGGCUUGGCCCAAAUCUUUUUGAUAGUUAUUCAAGUGUUCAUUUAUAAGAUGUUUUUCCAUGAAUUUUGAAAUAUUAGAGUGAAAUAUAUCUGGUAUUUUCACAGUGAAAAAUAUCAGAUAUAUUUUUCAAUGGUAAUAAACUAUAAUAAAGGUAAAUUUAGUAAAAAAAAAAAAAAUGAAAUGAAAAGAAUGUUUGUUUGUUUUACAUGUAAGAUUGAAAUAUCAUUCACUCAUGAACACCAUAUCUUACAUUUUCACUUGUGGCUAUACCACUCGUAAAAAUAUUGCAUCUGAUGUUCACUCAUGAAAGGUACUUAUACAGCUCUAAAAUUCUGCCUUGAUAUUUAGCAUGUAACAUUAUAUAGAUAUCAUAUGGCAGCAUGUGUGACAUCGAUAUUGUCAACCAGAGGGCGAGGCGAAAGCCGAGUGGUGACAUUCUGUUGCAAGGGUUGACAAUAUCAGUGUCACACAUGCUGCCAUAUUUUAUUAUACUGAACAAAAUUAAGCACAUAAAAAGUUAAAAAAUAUUUAAAUUCAUUUAAUUCAACUGUUUCAUCUUAGCUCGGUAAUCGCCUGUGUACACAUUGAAUAAUGAUGUCAUUAUAUACUAUAUGUGUACAAGGGAGUUAAUCAUUUCAUGAUUUGGCUAAAAAUUUGAAGCAGUUAUUUGCCCUUAUUAUUAUACGACAUUCAAAAUAUCAGUGCAGUCAAAUGACCUGACAGUCACUUUUGCUUGGUCACAUGUCAAAAUGUUUCUGAUAGUCAAAAUAUCUCUUUCUCGGGAAAUGGAAUUUUAUAUUUAGUAUGUAGCAUUGCCUAGUGGUCCUCUACCAAAAUUGUUCAAAUUAUGUCCCUGGGGUGGAAAGAGCAGUCUUCAGGGGGUCCCAAGUUUUACUUAGACUUUUAUAGGAUUUUAUUUUUUUUAAUCUUCUUGUCUGAAAGUUUAUUGCCUAGGCCUUUGAUAUUUGGUAUGUAACAUUGUGUAGUGGACCUCUAACAAUAUUUUUCAAUUAUACCCCUGGGGUGAAUAGAAGCCCCGCCCCGGUGGUCACUUGUUAUAUGAGUUAUAUAGGAAAAAAUACUUUAAAAAUUAACAGGUCAUAGUUCCUAGACUGUUUAAUUAUAAUUACCUGAUGACCCCAAGUGAUUAGGGGUCACAUAACUGUGACCUUGAUCUACUGACCUACUUUCUUGGGUUUUUUUAAGAUGCAGCCUUGAAAUUUGGAUGACAUGUACAGUUUUGUGCACCGAUUUUAAAACUGACUUUCAGUAACCAUAAAUGUGACCUACUGACCCACUUCCUUAAUAUUUUAGCAUCAAUUUGACAUUUGAAACAUGUUCACACACAUGGGGAAAAGAUUUCAAUGCUUACUUACAUUUGACUUUUUUACCUGACAUGUAGCUCACAUUACUCAGGUGAGGGAUCCAGGGUCAUCAUGACCUCUUGUUAAAAUAUACUGCCACCUGGGAAUGUUUUGUAUUUUUUUAUGUCCUAACACUGGUCUCACUGAUCAGAUUUGUUAGAGUUGUAUUACUUUCCCCUUAUUUCUGUGGGUUCGAGCUGCAUCAGAGACACAAAGAUAUUCAGGUGUAGAAGCCAUUUUACUGUGUUUCAGAAGGUCUUUGGUUCUGUACAGGUGCCCAUCUUACCUCAACUAUUCCUCGUUCUCUACUGUUAAAGGGGCAUGCCCUUGGAUUGAUAUACAAAAAAUUACUUACAAAAACACUCGUGUGUUGUUAAAGUCAUCAUGAUGCAGUUCUAUAACAGAAUGGGACAACUGUAGAGUUGCGAUCAAAAAAUUAGGCUCAGUUUUUAGAUCUCUUAGUUAUCCAGCUUCUGCAUGACUCUGUUUUAAUUUUAUUUAUUCUAUUUUUGGUUAAAAAUCAUACUAAGUCUUGUACUACAGGACAAGUACUACAGCAGGUUCCACUUAUAAUGCCUGUAGUUGAUUUCUGGUGGUAUUUACGAGCAGACAUUUGGAUUAGUCAAGUCCUGGUAUAAAACUAUUAUACUUUAAAAGGAAUUCUAGUCUUGAAAUAUCAGUAGCAGUACCUAUAAAGUGAAAUAAGAAAAACUCUUAGUGAUUAUAUCUAGACAAAAAAAGUAUUAUUAAGUUGGUUUACAACUGAUUGUGAUUGUUUUUCCUAGUGUAUUUUGUCAUUUAAAAACUCUGUAGAAAGUUAAUAAGUAUGAAGAAAGGGAGGUAUUUUAAUACCUUAAUAUUGUAUUAUAAUUAUUUAUCACAUAUUUGACGUCGCGGGAGUGAAAUAAAGCCAUUAAAUAAAAACGAUAAUACACUAGUGUAAUAAAGCUUUGACGUCGACGUCGUUUAUAGUAUUGGAAAGGUUGGUCAAAUUGACUUAUUUAAAUAGUAAAAGAAAGUGGAAUUUUUUAUGUUUCGACAGGAAAAACUAACGUGAUAAAAAGAAUAUUACAUUUGUGACUUUCUAUAAUGGAUUUAUUUAACUCGUUGAAUAAAAUUGAUAAAAUGCUCGGCAGAGCCUCGCAUUUUAUCAUUUUAUUCAACUUGUUUAAUAAAUUCAGUAUGAAAAGACACUUAUGUAAUAUCCUCUAUUUGUCUUUUAGUGAGGUUAUAUGUGGGUUUAUCCACCUGGGAAAAGCGAGAUUGACCAAUGGUAUAGCCGGAGGUUCAUUUCACUUUUCUCAGGUUGAUAACAUUAUAUAAGUAACAGUUGUUUUAUUAUUAAAUUCAACAGGUCUCGGCAUUUUUGUGAAAAUGGUGCACUUGCAGAGGCUGAUAGAUUUGACCCAACGUAAUGGAUGUAACAUGUUUAUGACACCACAUUGUUAAGACAUCGCUGCUGAAUAAACUAUAUUUUGUUAAUUGUUUGAUCUAACUAUUAUAUAUUAAUGUUGUACAUGAUCCUGCUAUUUUUAAACAAGUGCUUGAUCUUGCUAUAUUUUUUUUUAAGGGUAUCAUUUUUGAAAAAAGAAGAUAUAGAAACUUGUAGUCAGAUAUUACCUGCACAGAAUAGUAGUUACAUUGAAUAUUACCUGUGUUGAAUAUCACCUGUGUUGAAUAUUACCUGUGUUGAAUAUUACCUGUGUUGAAUAUUACCUGUGUUGAAUAUCACCUGUGUUGAAUAUCACCUGUGUUGAAUAUUACCUGUGUUGAAUAUCACCUGCGUUGAAUAUUACCUGUGUUGAAUAUUACCUGUGUUGAAUAUCACCUGUGUUGAAUAUUACCUGUGUUGAAUAAAUAUUGAUUUACCCCUGUGUGUGUGUCUGUCUGUCACAAAUCUUGUCUGCACUCUAGCCAAAUUGGCCUAGGCACUUAGGAAUUACGGCCCUUGAAUUACCGAAAAUCGGCCAUUUUGCUCUUGUCUGCGCUGUAAGUCCAACAUUUCUUAUCUGAUCUUCACCAAACUUGAACAGAAUGUGUUUCACCAUAAGUCCUUAGCCAAAUUUGAUAACUAGCCAAAUUGGCCAAGGCACUUCAGAAUUAUGACCUUUAAUUACUGAAAAUUGGCCUUUUUACUCUUGCCCACACUGUAAGGUGAACAUUUCUUAUUAAAUCUUCACAAAACUUGAACAAAAGGUGUUUGACCAUAAGUCCUCGGCCAAGUUCGAUAAAUAGCCAAAUUGGCCGAGGCACUUCAAAAUUAUGGUCCUUGAAUUAUGGAAAAACGGCCUUUUUAACUUGCCUGUGCUCUUAGUCGAAGAUUGCUUAUCUGAUCUUCUCCAAACUUGGAACAGAAUAUGUUUGACCAUAAGUCCUCAGUCAAAUUUCAUAACUAGCCAAAUCGCCUGAGGCACUUCAGAAUUAUGACCCUUGAAUGACCCAAAAUCAGCCUUUUUACCCAUCAAAGGUAUAUUUGUAGUGAGUAAACAGUAUUUUUAAAAAAGACUGACUUACUAUUUAGAUGAUUAGGCAGUUGUGGGAGACAUGCGCCUUUCUCAAAAGUAGCUCUAGUUUCCUUGUGAAAUUAUUGUAUAGUGGACAGGAAAAUGUUCUUGGAAAGUUUGGUUUUUAUUCCCAAAAUGCAAGGAGCUUGUCCUCUGAACCUGCGUGAUGUAUGCCUAUACAUAAAUCCUAUUUAAACAGGUUUAAUUACAAUGAGAACAAUACACUUUUGUUAAUGUUGAAGCUCUGCAUGAUGAAAACACUGUAUAACAUUUUACUUAUAAAAAAACAAUCAGUUUACAAUAUACUUAUAUUCCAAUGACUUGGCUUACAGGAGUUCUUUAGGGAAUAAUAUCAGUAUUAUUUUUUUAUAAAAAUGUAUGGAAUUUUUGAAUGCAUUUAUGAAGGCUGAUGAUUGGUUGGAUAAAUCAGAUAUAUAUUGGAUCGUGGUAUUGUUUUAUGUAUUGAAGUGCUUGCUCUCAAUUCUAAUAUCAGCAUCAGUGAUGUAUAGUUUAAACAAAAUUGUUUAUUUCCACAAGGCUGAUUAUUGCAUUACGGAGGACAGGAUCAAAAUCUUAACAUCUUUAAUAGUAC